rnacentral:tRNA from 1 species
UGUCGGAGUGGCGGAAUUGGCAGACGCGCUAGAUUCAGGUUCUAGUGGCCUUAGUGCUCGUGCGAGUUCAAGUCUCGCCUUCGACAUC